GGCCCAGGAGAAUAUUGGAGUAACAGAAUCACAUGUGGAGCAAGGACACAUGGCUAAUGAUCCACACAUCAAGGAGCUAAGGCGAGGAUUGAGAGCCAGGUGUCCUAACAGAAAAUAUUCUGAAGGAUACGUUAAAUAAGGAAAUGAUUGACAGUGAAUGGGGGAAUUGGUUGAGAGAAAUCAGAAUCUUUCCUCCCUCUGAGCUAGUCAGCUUUCUUGUUUUCAUUAUACUUGAAACCUUAAAUUCCAUAGCAGCUUUAUGACUCAAU
rnacentral:lncRNA from 1 species